rnacentral:rRNA from 1 species
GAUGAACGCUGGCGGCAUGCCUAAUACAUGCAAGUCGAACGGGAAGUGGUGUUUCCAGUGGCGAACGGGUGAGUAACGCGUAAGAACCUGCCCUUUGGAGGGGCACAACAACUGGAAACGGUUGCUAAUACCCCGUAGGCCUAAUAGCAAAAGAUGUAAUCCGCCAAAUGAGGGGCUAGCGUCUGACUGGCUAGUUGGUGAUGUUAUAGCUUACCAAGGCGCAGGACCGUCUCUGGUAGGAGAGGAUGAUCAGCCACACUGGUACUGGGACAAGGCGCAGACGCCUACGGGAGGCAGCAGUAGGGAAGUUUGCGCAAUGGGCGAAAGCCUGACAGGGCAAUGGCGCGGGGAGGUGGAAGGACUAGGGGUCGUCAACUUCUUUACUAGGAGAAGAAACAAUGACGGUAUCUGAGGAAUAAGCAACGGCUAACUCUGUG